UCCGUAGGUGAACCUGCGGAAGGAUCAUUACCGAAGUACAGGCCCUCUCGAGGGCUAAACUUCCACCCUUUGUUUAUUAUACUAUGUUGCUUUGGCGGAUCGCCCUUGGGCCACCGGCUUCGGCUGGUGCGUGUCCGCCAGAGACCUCAAACCCAAACCAUUAUACGUAAUUGUCUGAAAACAAGUUUAAAUUAUUAAAACUUUCAACAACGGAUCUCUUGGCUCUGGCAUCGAUGAAGAACGCAGCGAAAUGCGAUAAGUAAUGUGAAUUGCAGAAUUCAGUGAAUCAUCGAAUCUUUGAACGCACAUUGCGCCCCUUGGUAUUCCGGGGGGCAUGCCUGUUCGAGCGUCAUUAUCACCCCUCAAGCUCAGCUUGGUGUUGGGGCCUGCCCGUCACAGGGCAGCCCUUAAAAGCAGUGGCGGUGCCAUCUGGCUCUAAGCGUAGUAAUACUCCUCGCUAUAGAUGUCUGGUGGUGUCCUGCCAAAACCCCCCAUAUUUUUAAUGAUUGACCUCGGAUCAGGUAGGGAUACCCGCUGAACUUAAGCAUAUCAAUAAGCGGAGGAA
rnacentral:rRNA from 1 species